rnacentral:rRNA from 1 species
GGCUUUUUGAGUAUAAUUUAAAGUCUGGCCUGCCCAAUGAAAUUUGAAUGGCCGCAGUAUAUUAACUGUGCGAAGGUAGCAUAAUCAUUAGUUUUUUAAUUGAGAACUUGUAUGAAAGGUUAGAUGAAAAAAAUACUGUCUUUAUUUAAAUUAAUUAGAAAUUUAUUAUUAAGUAAAAAAGCUUAAAUAAAUAUUGAAGACGAGAAGACCCUAUAGAGUUUUAUAUUAAUAUUUUUAAUAAAUUUUUAGUAUUUUAAAAUUAAGAUAUUUUAGUAUUUAAUUGGGGUGAUUAAAAAAUUUAAAAAACUUUUUAAAAAUUUAAACAUUAAUUUAUGAUAAAAUGAUCCUAUAAAAGAGUAAAAGAAAAAAUUACCUUAGGGAUAACAGCGUUAUUUUUUUUAAAGUUCUUAUUAAAAAAAAAGAUUGCGACCUCGAUGUUGGAUUAAAAUAAAUUAUUGGUGUAGAAGCUAAUAAAUUAGGUCUGUUCGACCUUUAAAAUUUUACAUGAUCUGAGUUUAAACCGGUGUGAG